GAGUUUGAUCCUGGCUCAGAACGAACGCUGGCGGCGUGCCUAACACAUGCAAGUCCAACGUGAAAGGGGAGCAAUCCCCCGGUAGGGUGGCAAACGGGUGAGUAAUACAUGGGUGAUCUACCUUAGGGAUGGGGAUAUCCUUCCGAAAGGAGGGGCAAUACCGAAUAUUGUCCGGAGCCGUGAAGGGUUCCGGGGAAAGGGAGGCCUCUGAUACAAGCUUUCGCCUUAAGAUGAGCCCAUGUCCCAUCAGCUAGUUGGUAGGGUAAAGGCCUACCAAGGCUACGACGGGUCGCUGGUCUGAGAGGACGACCAGCCACACUGGCACUGAGAUACGGGCCAGACUCCUACGGGAGGCAGCAGUGAGGAAUAUUGCGCAAUGGGGGAAACCCUGACGCAGCAACGCCGCGUGUGGGAAGAAGGCCUUCGGGUCGUAAACCACUUUUGCACGGGACGAAAAAGGGAUAUCGAACAAAUAUCCCCGAUGACGGUACCGUGAGAAUAAGCCACGGCUAACUCUGUGCCAGCAGCCGCGGUAAGACAGAGGUGGCAAGCGUUGUUCGGAAUUACUGGGCGUAAAGAGUCUGUAGGUGGUUUGUCAAGUCUUUGGUGAAAGGCCGUAGCUUAACUAUGGGAAUGCCAAAGAGACUGGCAGGCUGGAGGCUGGGAGAGGGAAGCGGAAUUUCUGGUGUAGCGGUGAAAUGCGUAGAUAUCAGAAGGAAGGCCGGUGGCGAAGGCGGCUUCCUGGAACAGUCCUGACA
rnacentral:rRNA from 1 species